rnacentral:rRNA from 1 species
UACAGAGGAGCCAAGCGUUGUCCGGAUUGACUGGGCGUAAAGCGCACGCAGGCGGUCGGGCGCGUGGGGUGUGAAAUCUGGCCGCUUAACGGCCAGGCGCCAUCCCAUACGGCUCGACUGGAGUGAUGCAGAGGUCGAUGGAAUUGCCGGUGUAGUGGUGAAAUGCGUAGAGAUGGGGGAGAACACUCGUGGCGAAGGCGGCCAGCUAGACCAGUUCUGACACUGAGGCGCGACAGCGUGGGGAGCAAACAGG